rnacentral:lncRNA from 1 species
GGUAAGUGAUGCUAAUAUUCACUACAGGGGGUAGGCAAGUACUUUCUUUACCUGAUUAAAACCAUUCUCUCCAUCCCUCCUCUGUUUCUGUGGGUCUCUCCCUCCCUCUCUUUUUUUCUCUCUCUCUGUCAGUCUCUGUCUCUCUGUCUCUUUCUCUACAUCUCUAUCUCUCCGUUUCCCUCUCCUCUCUUUCUUUCUUUCUUUCUUUCUGUCUUUCCUUCUUUCUUUUUCUUUCUUUCUGUCUUUCCUUCUUUCUUUUUCUUUCUUUCUUUCUCUUUCCUUCUUUCUUUCUUUCUUUCUUUCUUUCUUUCUCUCUCUCUCUCCCUCUCUCUGUCAAUCUGUCUGUCUUACUCCACAUCUCUAUCUCUCUGGCUCUCCCUCCCUCUCUCUCUCCCACCUUCUCUCUCUCCCUCCAUCCCUCCCCCUCUCUCUGUCUGUCUCUGUUUCUCCUUCUCCCUCUCUCUGUGUCCCUUGUUAUCUGUGUCUUUCUCUGUCUCUGUCUUUCUCCCUGUCCCUCUCCCUCUCUCUCUGUCAGUCUCUGUCUCUCUGCCUCUUUCUCCACAUCUCUCUCUGUCUCCCUCCCUUCCUCCCCCUCUCUCUGUCUCUGUUUCUCCUCUCCUUUUCUCUGUCUCCCUUGUUCUCUAUGUCUUUCUCUGUCUCUGUCUGUCUGUCUGUCUCUCUCUCUCUGCCUCUCCCUCUCUCUGUCUCUGUCUCUCUGUUUCUAGUUCCCUUUCUCUGUUUCCGUCUCCUGCAAUCUUCUUUUAUCUCCCAAUGUUUUCUUUCUCCCCACUAUCCCCUCAUUUUCCCUCCCACCUCCAUUAA